UCGGGGCCAACCUCCCACCCGUGUUGCCCGAACCUAUGUUGCCUCGGCGGGCCCCGCGCCCGCCGACGGCCCCCCUGAACGCUGUCUGAAGUUGCAGUCUGAGACCUAUAACGAAAUUAGUUAAAACUUUCAACAACGGAUCUCUUGGUUCCGGCAUCGAUGAAGAACGCAGCGAAAUGCGAUAACUAAUGUGAAUUGCAGAAUUCAGUGAAUCAUCGAGUCUUUGAACGCACAUUGCGCCCUCUGGUAUUCCGGAGGGCAUGCCUGUCCGAGCGUCAUUGCUGCCCUCAAGCCCGGCUUGUGUGUUGGGCCCCGUCCCCCCCGCCGGGGGGACGGGCCCGAAAGGCAGCGGCGGCACCGCGUCCGGUCCUCGAGCGUAUGGGGCUUCGUCACCCGCUCUAGUAGGCCCGGCCGGCGCCAGCCGACCCCCAACCUUUAAUUAUCUCAGGUUGACCUCGGAUCAGGUAGGGAUACCCGCUGAACUUAAGCAUAUCAAUAAGCGGAGGAA
rnacentral:rRNA from 1 species